rnacentral:lncRNA from 1 species
GGCUGGACCUUGGAGAGUGAGGCCCUGAGACGAGACAUGGGCACCUGGCUUCUGGCCUGCACCUGCGUCUGCACCUGUGUCUGCUCGGGAGUCUCUGUCUCAGGGGAUGGACAAGGGCCAAGGGCUGGAACCUCCACCUGCCUCACCAACAACAUUCUCAGGAUUGAUUGCCACUGGUCUGCCCCAGAGCUGGGUCAGGGCUCCAGCCCCGGGCUCCCCUAGCAACCAGGCUGCUGGUGGCACACAGAAGUGCAUCUGGCAGGGCAGUGAGUGCACUGUAGUGUUGCCGCCCAAGGCAGCACUCCUGCCAUCUGACAAUUUCAUCAUCACUUUCUACCACUGCGUGUCCGGGAGGGAUCGGGUCAGCCUGGUGGACCUGUAGUACCUGCCCUGGAGACCUGACUUGCAGAGCACGUCAUCUCGCCACUGCAUCCUGACCUGGAGCCUCAGUCCUGCCUUGGAGUCAGUGACCACACUUCUCAGCUAUGAGCUGGCCUUCAAGAGGCAGGAAGAGGCCUGGGAGGGCCCAGCGCAGGGAUCACAUUGUCGGGGUGACCUGGCUCAUACUUGAAGCCUUUGAGCUGGACCCUGGCUUUAUCCUUGAGGCCAAGCUGCGUGUCCAGACGGCCAUGCUGGAGGAUGACGGGGCACAGGCCGGUGGAGCGAGGGGAGCCAGCCCGUGUGCUUCCAGGCUCCCCAGAGACAACGGACCCUCUGAUCCCACCCUGGGGGUGGCCAGGCAACACCCUUGUUGCUGUGUCCAUCUUUCUCCUGCUGACUGGCCCGACCUACCUCCUGUUCAAGCUGUCGCCAGGAUGAAGAGAACCUUCUACUAGAAUGUGCCCUCUCUAGCAGUGUUCUUCUAGCCCCUCUACGGUGUGCACAAUGGGAACUUCCUUCCAGACUCGGAUGGGGGGCCCACAGGGCCGGUGUGCUGCUGAGCCAGGACUGUGCUGGCACCCGACGAGGAGCCUUGGAGCCCUGCAUCCAGGAGGCCACUGCACUGUUCACCUGUGGCCCAGCGGGUCCUUGGAAAUCUGUGGGCCUGGAGGAGGAGCAGGAAGGCACUGGGACCUGAGCUCAGAGCAUGUGCUGCCAGCAGGGUGUACAGAGUGGAGGGCACAGCCCCUUGCCUAUCUGCCACAGGAGGACUUGGCCCCCACGUCCCCCACCAGGGCAUGUUACUCCCUUCCGUCCUUAGCAAGGCUUGGUC